CUUUUUUCGUUUAAAUUCUUUGGAAUUUUCAUGGCGAGACAUUUUAUAGCUGAUUUUGUAAUUGUUGAAGGUAUAUUAUAAUUGCUUACAUCCACUUAUUUGACCACAUCUAAAAUUGCUUGCUUUAAUUAGAUAUAGGAAGAUGUGGUGUGAGUGCCAAUGAGACAAAUCUCCAUCCAAUGAAAUAACAAUUUUUAAAAAGUAAACCAUUAUAGGUCAAUGUACGGCCUUCAGCACGGAUCCUUGGCUCACACCGAACAACCAGCUAUAAAGGGUCCCAAAAUUACUAGUGUAAAACCAUUCAAACGGGAAAACCAACGGUCUAAUCUAUAUAAAAUUUAAAAAAAAAAACGAGAGACACGUAUAAAUUACAUAAACAAACGACAACUACUGUACAUCAGAUUCCUGACAUAGGACAGGUGCAAACGUUUGCAGCGGGAUUAAACGUUUUUCUGAAACAAUAGCAUAACAUCACAAAAUAGAAAAACACACGAUAAAAUAUCAAUUGGCAGGCUUAACUCAAUAAAAAAACGUACAUUAAUACACUAUAAACGAAUAAAUUUGAUCUGAGAUUUAAGACCCCCCCCC
rnacentral:lncRNA from 1 species